UUAGAAUAGCAUCGACGCGAGGUUCAAGUCACCCGUACCCCAAACCGACUCAGGUGGUCAGGUAGAGAAUACCAAGGAGAUCGAGAGAAUCGUGGUUAAGGAACUCGGCAAAAUGCCCCCGUAACUUCGGGAGAAGGGGGGCCUGAGGCGUGAAGGGAUUUACUCCUGGAGCGUUUGAAGGCCGCAGAGACCAGUGGGAAGCGACUGUUUACUAAAAACACAGGUCCGUGCUAAGUCGCAAGACGAUGUAUACGGACUGACGCCUCCCCGGUGCUGGAAGGUUAAGAGGAACGGUUAGCCGCAAGGCGAAGCUGAGAAUUUAAGCCCCAGUAAACGGCGGUGGUAACUAUAACCAUCCUAAGGUAGCGAAAUUCCUUGUCGGGUAAGUUCCGACCUGCACGAAUGGCGUAACGACUUCCCAGCUGUCUCAACCGCGAACUCGGCGGAAUUGCACUACGAGUAAAGAUGCUCGUUACGCGCAGAAGGACGGAAAGACCCCGUGACCUUUACUAUAGCUUUGUAUUGGUGUUCGGUGUGGCUUGUGUAGGAUAGGUGGGAGACUGUGAAGCUUGGACGCUAGUUCAGGUGGAGUCAUUGUUGAAAUACCACUCUGGUCACUCUGGAUAUCUAACUUCGGACCGUAAUCCGGUUCAGGGACAGUGCAUGGUGGGUAGUUUAACUGGGGCGGUUGCCUCCCAAAAAGUAACGGAGGCGCCCAAAGGUUCCCUCAACCUGGUUGGCAAUCAGGUGUCGAGUGUAAGUGCACAAGGGAGCUUGACUGUGAGAGUGACAACUCGAGCAGGGACGAAAGUCGGGACUAGUGAUCCGGCAGUGGCUUGUGGAAGCGCUGUCGCUCAACGGAUAAAAGGUACCUCGGGGAUAACAGGCUGAUCUUGCCCAAGAGUCCAUAUCGACGGCAUGGUUUGGCACCUCGAUGUCGUCUCGUCGCAUCCUGGGGCUGGAGUAGGUCCCAAGGGUUGGGCUGUUCGCCCAUUAAAGCGGUACGCGAGCUGGGUUUAGAACGUCGUGAGACAGUUCGGUCCCUAUCCUCUGCGCGCGCAGGAAAUUUGAGAAGAGCUAUCCCUAGUACGAGAGGACCGGGAUGGACGAACCUCUGGUGUGUCAGUUGUUCCGCCAGGAGCACCGCUGAUUAGCUACGUUCGGAACGGAUAACCGCUGAAAGCAUCUAAGCGGGAAGCCGGCUUCAAGAUGAGAUUUCCAUGACUUCGGUCGAGAGGCUCCCAGCUAGACUACUGGGUUGAUAGGCAGGAUGUGGAAGUGCGGACUAAAGACGCAUGGAGCUGACCUGUACUAAUAAGCCGAUAAA
rnacentral:rRNA from 1 species